CAUAGCAGAAAGUCCUUUUCAGCCGCCCCAUGUGGAAAAGGUCCUCCAUUUUGUGGAUUGUUCCAAAAAGAGGCCCUUGUCCAUAGAGGCUGUUGGCAAAGAGUCUUCGAGCCAAAC
rnacentral:precursor_RNA from 15 species